GCCGUGUGGUGAGCCGCCGUGGGAGCCACAAGAUCGCUUCGGUUCUUAUAUCCUCGUUUUGCAAUCCGCUUGGCUCCCCAAAACUACCAAACUAACAAACUCGUUUCGGAAUCAAUUCGAAUUGAAUCGUACUGAUGGGGGAACCGGAGUUCGAUGCCACGUCUUGUCUGUGCCUGUGCGUCCUUGAGCUGCUUUCGCCCAAUGCAUUUGUUUUUAAAUCGGACAAAGUCUUGAACAGAACUUUCCCGUAUCUUUGCUUUGUGUUCGUCCCCAAAUGACUUGACAUUUAACCAACAUAGCGUUCUGUUUGGCCCGCGCAAACAAUGCUCUUUAAUGCCCCUUUCUAUAUAAUGUGUGUACUUGUAUUUUCUGUUUGUUUUGGCUUCGUUCUAUGAUUUAUGUGCGUCCCCAUAACACUUGUGUCCACUAACACGUCGUAAUCGCCGCGAUCUGUACAAUGUGUCUUUAUCUAACCGAUCUGAUAUAUCUCACAUAUCUGCUCACUUCAAUAACAAUAUUUCACGCCGAGCCUCUGCAAUUCGUUUAGUCGCUACCAUUUCAGUCGGGUCUAAAUGGGCCAUUUAAAUUUAGCCGCCACGAUGACAGAGUGUAUAUCCAUCUAUAUAUCCACGAAUAUUUAAUAUGUAUAUAUUAUAUGUUCAGAUUAACACGUGUGUGUGCAAAAGUGUACACCCACUCUCAAAAGUGCGGAUUUUUGAGACUUGGCAAAAAUCCGUGCUGAAUGUGUUUACUUUUCCUUACGUGAUCUGAGAUUGUUAAACGAUUUAAACUUUUGCCUAUCCAUCCAGUUGGUUUCAAUAUAUUUUAUUUUUCCACCUUUCUAAAGUAAUUUAUUAAUGCCUUGCCAGCCAGCUUUUGCUAUACAACUGCUGACUAAUGCUACUUUCUGCUUUGGCAAGCUUCUAAUUUGUUGUUAUUCUCGAAAAGAACAGCGUUUGUUUUAAAUUUGAAAUACACAUAGCCUGCUUACGCCAAUGCCCACUGUAUGUGCCAAAUAGAAUUUUCGACUUUCGACCAUUGUUGGCCAGUCAGUGAGCCAUGGCCACAUGGCAAUUUCCCAGCCGAAAGCCAUUUUCAUUUUCAUUUCGCCACAAUUUUGUGUGUGUGUGUGUGUGGGGGCGUUUCGCUGCGAAGAAUGCGAAAUGAUCUAGCGCAUCACGUGCCUGCUGACGCGAGUUCGACAUCCGCUUCCCAGCCAAGCCACAGUGGACCCCCCCUGCGACGACCCUGUGCGCCCUGAGCACACCACCCAUUGUACCCCCCAGACUUUUGUUUACCCUCUCUUCGCAGUUGGGCGCUAAAUGCGCUCCAUUCAAUUAGUUUAGUAGUGCUCCGAUUGACACAGUCGGGCUCGCAAAUCUAGAGCCAUGAGCACCGUUGAUGAUUAAUACAAUACAUUAAAAUUAUACUGUAAUGCACAAAGUGCUUUCUAUUUGAAUCAUUACACUGAAUUCUAAGAAUAAUUUAUAUAUUUUUGAAUGUCUCACAAACGUGCUAACAGCACAAAUCGCUCAACCACAAGUGUUCACAUGCGUAUAUAUAUGUAUAUAUAUUCGUGCUGAUACAUAUAGCUUCCAUAUUAUAGAAGGCUGUGAUAGCUAAUAUAUUAGGCGGGGCAAGUCUUGCCAAGAAUUCUCGUUUGAACUUGUUAUCGCUCGAUGUCUGUCAGUCGCUUUGCUUGGCGUGGCUGUGGUGUGUCCUCUCUGCUCGAUUGAUUUCCCGAAAUUGAUUGCUAAACGAUUUUGUUUUCUGAGUUUUGCCUGUUUGCCUGUUGAUUUGCUUUCCUUUGCCUUCCCCUCCCUCAAAACUGAAACCCUUCACUUCCCCAAAUACCAAUCCGACUUCUUCAUUAUGGAAAUUAACUUGGCUAAUUAUGUAUUUAUCUAUGUUGUUUGCCUGUGCCUAAAGAACCUCCUAAUCUGCAUACGAUUUGAUUGUCUCGAGAGUCCAUUAAAGGUUGGCUGGGCAGUCGCAAUCAUACACAAUCUGAAUUCACACACACACGCCGGCUUUAAAACAAUCAUUCAGAUAUUUGGUACACAGAGAGAACAAUCAUUCAGAUACUUGGUUCACAGGGAGAACAAUGUGAUUUGCUAGGCAUAUCAUAGAUUGAUUAAGAAUGAUAUCUGCACUGCCUCCAAAUAAAUUUAAACUAUAUCGCGAAUUAGUUAUUCUUAUCACCUGCUACUUAGUCCACUCUAGUUUCUUAUCAGUACCAGAAAGCUUUAUUAUUUUUUUCCCUGUGCAUAGAUUUCCAUUCCCUGAUGCGCAAUAGCUGGUGAAAUUGCAAAUACGCGUACACCGCUCUUACAUACAUCUCCUCACGUUCCUGUACAUUAUUUUCUCUUGCAUCAUCGUUGCUAAUUGAAUUAGAAUUGGCAGGCCAGAAGAAUAGACUCGCAAACCAAAACAAAACGUUCAGCGUUUCAUUGGGCAAAAAAAAAAGCAGAGAAACAGAGAAACAGCAGUGCGUCCCACCAAUUGAUCGAUUCCACCUGCCACCCGAUGCACUGCGUCAAGUUCAAUGCAAUUGCCGUGCACAAAAAGCAACUAAUGCCCAAACAAAGGGAGCUCAUUGGGCAGCAAAGUUUUCCACGCGACAGGGAACCGCAACAAGUGUUGCCUCCGUCGAUCCCCCAAAAGCACCUGACUUUAUAGACACCCAACCACACACGCCCACCAAUCUGAUUUAUUUACCCCCAUUGGCGCACAAAUGCAAGGCAGCCACAGUACACACUCGCUAGCUGAAACCGUAAAAUCAAUGCACUUGAGAAUUUGAAUAAAUAGCUCAGUCUGCUUACGUACUUAAAUAGAUUAAUAUAUUGAAACACUCCUGUUAUUUUUGUUACUAUUUGUACAAUCUGUAGAAUGUUCCAGUUAGCGAAUUUCAACUGUUUUAGCAAGAGCACGAUGAUGACAUAGCUUAUCGCCAAAUGGCAAACUGUGACUCCCUGUCUGUGGGAAAAAGCCCCCUCAUGUCGACUUGGAUCAGCGAUUACAGCUCACUCGUCUCAAUUGCCUUGGAUGGCUGACACAUGAAGCUCUACUUUGACUCAACGAGGCUAUUGAGUGUUUAUCCACACAGCUUCCUAUAUGCCAUUGUUGAUUUCGGAAUGAAAGCACAUUCCUAAGGCAAAAAUCCAUUAUUCCAUUAGGAAGAUUUCUCAAAAACAAUUCGCCAACUGUGCGCAUUAUAUUGAUCAAUUUUUAAGCAAAACAUUAGUCAUUCCUCAUUUUUCGAAUUACUCCACAUUUUGUUGGCUUUUGUGUACAUUUAUUAUUUUAUUGAGCUUCAAAUUACUAAAAACAAUGGAAAAUGUGCUGGCACUAAACUGCCUCUAACCGCUUUUUAAAUUAGUAUCAGCAUUGAAAUUGAAUUCCAAGCAGAUGGAACGUAAAACUCAGGCAUUCAGACAUUAACAACUGGAGGAGACGAAUAAUGCUGAGUACUCUUUAACCCGCCGCUGAUUAGAAACUGUUUACUUGGG